UGUAUGCGUCGUAAAAACUACUAACAAUGAAAUGAUAUACAAUUCUGAAAAACAAUGUAAAUCAGAUUGUAGAGCUUAUCCAACGAAAGAGUUUCAUAAUUGUUGUGAAAAUAAUUGCAAACCUCUAGAGGCUGGCCGUUAUAAAAGAUUCGAGGGAUAAAUUUUAAUGCCAACUACAACUACUUGAAAUUAUAUUUUAUGAAAAUAUUUUACUUGUAACGUAUAUUUUGAAUGUUGUUACUAAGAUGAAAAUCAAUAGAUUUACUUUGUAAGAAUUGAAUAAAACAAGUAAAACUUAGAAAUCCUUAUCCCGUAUAAACUUC